GGGUUGUGAGGUUAAGCGACUAAGCGUACACGGUGGAUGCCCUGGCAGUCAGAGGCGAUGAAGGACGUGCUAAUCUGCGAUAAGCGCCGGUAAGGUGAUAUGAACCGUUAUAACCGGCGAUUUCCGAAUGGGGAAACCCAGUGUGACUCGUCACACUAUCAUUAACUGAAUCCAUAGGUUAAUGAGGCGAACCGGGGAACUGAAACAUCUAAGUACCCCGAGGAAAAGAAAUCAACCGAGAUUCCCCCAGUAGCGGCGAGCGAACGGGGAGGAGCCCAGAGCCUGAAUCAGCAUGUGUGUUAGUGGAAGCGUCUGGAAAGGCGCGCGAUACAGGGUGACAGCCCCGUACACAAAAGCGCAUGUGCUGUGAGCUCGAUGAGUAGGGCGGGGACACGUGGUAUCCUGUCUGAAUAUGGGGGGACCAUCCUCCAAGGCUAAAUACUCCUGACUGACCGAUAGUGAACCAGUACCGUGAGGGAAAGGCGAAAAGAACCCCCGGCGAGGGGAGUGAAAAAGAACCUGAAACCGUGUACGUACAAACAGUGGGAGCACCCUUCGGGGUGUGACUGCGUACCUUUUGUAUAAUGGGUCAGGCGACUUAUAUUCUGUAGCAAGGUUAACCGAAUAGGGGAGCCGGAGGGAAACCGAGUCUUAAUUGGGCGUUAAGUUGCAGGGUAUAGACCCGAAACCCGGUGAUCUAGCCAUGGGCAGGUUGAAGGUUGGGUAACACUAACUGGAGGACCGAACCGACUAAUGUUGAAAAAUUAGCGGAUGACCUGUGGCUGGGGGUGAAAGGCCAAUCAAAACCGGGAGAUAGCUGGUUCUCCCCGAAAGCUAUUUAGGUAGCGCCUCGUGAAUUUCAUCUCCGGGGUAGAGCACUGUUUCGGCUAGGGGGCCAUCCCGGCUUACCAACCCGAUGCAAACUGCGAAUACCGGAGAAUGUUAUCACGGGAGACACACGGCGGGUGCUAACGUCCGUCGUGAAGAGGGAAACAACCCAGACCGCCAGCUAAGGUCCCAAAGUCAUGGUUAAGUGGGAAACGAUGUGGGAAGGCCCAGACAGCCAGGAUGUUGGCUUAGAAGCAGCCAUCAUUUAAAGAAAGCGUAAUAGCUCACUGGUCGAGUCGGCCUGCGCGGAAGAUGUAACGGGGCUAAACCAUGCACCGAAGCUGCGGCAGCGACACUGUGUGUUGUUGGGUAGGGGAGCGUUCUGUAAGCCUGCGAAGGUGGCCUGUGAGGGUUGCUGGAGGUAUCAGAAGUGCGAAUGCUGACAUAAGUAACGAUAAAGCGGGUGAAAAGCCCGCUCGCCGGAAGACCAAGGGUUCCUGUCCAACGUUAAUCGGGGCAGGGUGAGUCGACCCCUAAGGCGAGGCCGAAAGGCGUAGUCGAUGGAAACGGGUUAAUAUUCCCGUACUUGGUGUUACUGCGAAGGGGGGACGGAGAAGGCUAUGUUGGCCGGGCGACGGUUGUCCCCGUUUAAGCGUGUAGGUGUGUGUUCCAGGUAAAUCCGGUUCACUUUAACACUGAGCGCGUGACGACGAGGCACUACGGUGCUGAAGCAACAAAUGCCUGCUUCCAGGAAAGCCUCUAAGCAUCACGGUAAACAUCAAAUCGUACCCGCAAACCGACACAGGUGUCAGGUAGAGAAUACCAAAGGCGCUUGAGAGAACUCGGGUGAAGGACUAGGCAAAAUGGUGCCCGUAACUUCGGAGAAGGCACGCUGACAUGUAGGUGAAGUGAUUUACUCAUGGAGCUGAAGUCAGUCGAAGAGAUACCAGCUGGCUGCAACUGUUAUUAAAAACACAGCACUGUGCCAAACACGAAAGUGGACGUAUACGGUGUGACGCCUGCCCGGUGCCGGGAAGGUUAAUUGAUGGGGUCAGCGCAAGCGAAGCUACCUGAUGCGAAGCCCCGGUAAAUCGGCGGCCGUAACUAUAACGUUCCCUAAGGUAGCGAAAUUCCUUGUCGGGAUAAGUUUCCGACCUGCACGAAUGGCGUAUGAUGGCCAGGCUGUCUCCAGCCGAGACUCAGUGAAAUUGACAACUCCGGCUGUGAAGAUGCAGUGUAGGCCCGCGGCAGAGACGGAAAGACCCCCGUGAACCCUUUACUAUAGGCUUGACACUGAACAUUGAGCCUUGAUGUGUAGGAUAGGGGGGAGGCUUUGAAGCGUGGACGCCAGUCUGCAUGGAGCCGACCCUUGAAAUAACCACCCUUUUAAUGUUUGAUGUUCUAAACGUGGACCCGUAAGUCCGGGUUGCGGACAGUGUCUGGUGGGUAGUUUUGACUGGGGCGGUCUCCUCCUCCAAAAGAGUCAACGAGGAGCCACCGAAGGGUUUGGCUUAAUCCUGGUCGACAUCAAGGAGGUUAGUCAAUGGCAUAAGCCAGCUUGACUGCGAGCGUGACGGCGCGAGCAGGUGCGAAGCAGGUCAUAGUGAUCCGGUGGUUCUGAAUGGAAAGGGCCAUCGCUCAACGGAUAAAAGGUACUCCGGGAUAACAGCUGAUACCGCCCCAAGAGUUCAUAUCGACGGCGGUGUUUGGCACCUCGAUGUCGGCUCAUCAACAUCCUGGGGCUGAAGUAGGUCCAAGGGUAUGGCUGUUCGCCAUUUAAAGUGGUACGCGAGCUGGGUUUAGAACGUCGUGAGACAGUUCGGUCCCUAUCUGCCGUGGGCGCUGGAGAACUGAGGGGGGGCUUGCUCCUAGUACGAGAGGACCGGAGUGGACGCAUCACUGGUGUUCGGGUUGUCAUGCCAAUGGCACUGCCCGGUAGCUAAAUGCGGAAGAGAUAAGUGCUGAAAGCAUCUAAGCACGAAACUUGCCCCGAGAUGAGUUCUCCCUGAGACUUAGAGUCUCCUGAAGGAACGUUGAAGACGACGACGUUGAUAGGCCGGGUGUGUAAGCGCAGCGAUGCGUUGAGCUAACCGGUACUAAUGAACCGUGAGGCUUAACCUUACAACGCCGAAG
rnacentral:rRNA from 1 species